rnacentral:lncRNA from 1 species
GGGGCGCACGCGUCCGGGGCCCUCGGAAGCGGGCGGCCGGGCCACAGCGGGGCCUGAGCCUCCUGGGGUUUCGCGUGGGCGCGGCUGCGGCUGCGAGCGGAGGCUGCUGGACUGAAGUAGGACUCAGCACGCGCUGCGACGCCCGAGCCCUCCGGGUUCGGCUCCAUUAAUUUCCCUGCGCGUACACCUGUGUGGCCACCGCCCGCCCAGCAGAACGUGCCAGCACCCUCCAAAGGAUCCCUCGCGCUUCUUCCCAACCUGCUUCCCUUCGUCGCACCCCCGGAGCGGUCCCAAGCCUCAGGCAUCCACACUAUUCUGCUUUUUUGUCACUAUAGAUCCGUUUUUGCCUGGUUGUGGACUUGUUAUACUUGAACUCGUACUAAAUACUCUCAUUUGGCUUCUUGCACUCGAUCCUGCAUUUCAGACCUUCCUGUUGUACCUAAUAAAGCUGUGGUGAACAUUCUGGUAAGGUUUGCUUUGGUGGACUGAAGCUCUUGUUUCUCUGGAGUAAAUACCUCCGAGUGGAUUUACUGGGGCACAAGGUGAGUUACGUUUACUUCCAUUAGAUGCUGUGAAACAGUUAUGCAAGUGACAUACUGUAUACCGAGAGAGGCAGCGCAGGGAAAGGAGCAGGAGAGGGACAAGCAGCCUCCAUGCUGAGCACGGAGUGCAGCACACGGCUGGAUCUUGCAACCCUGAGAUCAUGACCUGAGCCAAAAUCAAGAGUUGAUCACCCAACAGACUGAGCCACCAGGUACCCUCUGGGUUAUUUUUUGAACAAAGACAGGCCCAAAUGGGGCUACCACAAUGUAAUUAAUGUUAUCGGUGUUCCCUUUGAGCAGACUGUUCCUGUGGCUGAACUUCUAACUUCAUUUGUAAAUGACCCCAGAAAUCUGCAUCUCAGAAAUAUAAUGCCUGAUCCAUCCUAUUAGAAGACCAUCAUCAAUGUGGCAAAGUCUUGGUAAUUCUAGAAUGUGGAGAUAUUCACCCACUCUAUUUUGACAUGCCUCAAUGCCCACAGGCCUGAAGUUGAUGUUGCAUAUCAUUUUUUUUUCUGUAGAUUUACAUUUUUCACUCCAGUCCUUUUUCAGGGCUUUCGAAUCCACAACGGAGAUGAUAGAGGGGGUCAUUGUUGGAGGGAAACACAAAAACCAAGCACUGGAUAAUUUCUCCUCCUCCAAGAGGCCUUGAUCCAAUUCUCCACCAAUCUUCCAAAUCAGUGAUUUUCAAUGUAUGGUCCCUAGACCAGCAGCACCAGCGUCCCCUGGGAUCUUGCGAGAAAUAUAAAUUUUGGGGCCACACCCAGAACUGCUGAAUCAGAAACUCUUGGGGUGAGGCUCAGCAAUCUCUGCUUUGACAAGCUGUCCCCUCACCUCCCACAUGAUUCCGAUGCAUGCUGAAGUUUGAGAACCGCUGUCAUUUCCUGAAUCCACUGGAGUUGAGACUUUGCUGAAUUUCCUUGACUGCUUUGGCCAAUGUGGCCGUCCAGCCCCACCAGGAAAUAAUCCCUGCUAAUGGCCACUCUAUGUUAAUCACUUCAUCAUGUUCACUUAACAGCUUGAGCAAGAUGCUGGGCUGUACAAGGGCCGGGUGCUGGCCUGGUGUGCAAGAAAAGGCUCCGCAGAUCAGACGUGCUGCCAUGCACACUGAGAUUUCUACACUGGUGUGAUGCCUUCUCGGUGUGAAGGGCUGCCUCUUGGAGGAGUGAGAGGUUUAGGCAAAGGACUUCAUAACCCCCUUUAAAGAUCUCACACUCUAAGAGAAAGCCAAACAGAUGCGUGGUCUUCAAGUAACUGGUGAGAAUUCACGAAUUUCCCAGUUUUCCUUUGUUCACCUACCCUGAGAGAGUAUAGGUUCCAGGGUUUCCGUUAGAGUAUCACUGUCUGACUACACCUCAUUUACACCAACGUAAUUAUGAUGCUAUCUCUGGUCAGAUAUAAUGGAAGGAUAUAAUAAGAUGAGAGCUGAUUCUAUUAGUCACAGUGCUUUUGGGUGCAAGGGACAGAAACUAAACUCAAGCAAAAAGAAUUCCUUGGCUUGUGUAACUGCAGUACAAAGACCUGAAACCUAUCUCGGGCACAGGUGGAUCCAGGUGCUCACAUCAGGCACGGUCAGGACUUAUUUUCUUAUGGUUCUGGAGGCUGGAAGCUCAAGAUCAAGGUGCCAGCAGGACUGACCUCUGGUGAGGCCUCUCCUCCUGGACUGUAGACAGCCACCUGCUCACUGUGUCCUCAUAUGUCCUCACCUGUGUAUGUAUGGGGACAGGGGGUGUAGAGAGAGAGAGAGUUGGGGUGGGGGAAAGAUCUGAUGUCUCUUCUUUUUCUUACAAGGAUACCAGUCCUACGGGAUAAGGGUCCCACCCUUAUGAUCUCAUUUACCCUUAAUUAGCCCGUAAGGCCCCAUCUCCAAAUAUAGUCACAUUGGGGGCUAGGGUUUCAACAUAUGAAUUUGGGGGGGAGGACAUAAUUCAGUCCAUAGCAGGCCUCUAAUCCAAAUAUGGGUCAUGGCUCUAUCUUUUAAACAACCAUUAUAUCCAGGGGUUAGAUAUUUUUAUUGAGCAGGCCAAUUUCCACCUACCCACAUAGCCGCAUGUGGGUAGCUCUCCAGAACCACAGGAACUGAAUGGGGGAGGGCUGAUUCCCGAAAGGAAAAUCAGGGUGCAGGUCUCAGAAAGGGGAAUGAAUGAAUAUUAGAUAGUGUUAUGGCCUGAAUGUUUGUUUUGUCCACAAAUUCAUACGUUGAAGCUGUAACCUCCAGUGUUUUGCUAUUUGGAGAUGGGGCCUUAGAGAGGUAAUGAGGGUCAGGUGAGGUCAUGAGGGAUUAGUGCCCAUGGCAUUUGUGCCCUUAUAAGAGCACCAGAGAGUUCUUUUUUUCCCUGUCUGCCAUGUGAAAAUACAGCAAGAGGGCUGCUGUCUGUAAGCCAGGAAAAGAGCUCUCACCAGAAACAGAAUCGGCUGGCAACUUUAUCAUGGACUUCCCAGCCUCUAAGACUGUGAGAAAAUAAAUGUCUGUCGUUUAAGGCCUCCAGUCUAUGGUAUUUUGUUAUGGCAGCCCAAACUGAGAGAGGAAGGCAAAAGCACCCAUGUCUGCGACAUUCUUCUAAUACCUGCAUUUAAAUCCUUCUUGAGUUAUUUUAGAAGUUUCUUAGGCUCAGAGGGCCAGCCAGACUUUCAGGCCCUUCUGAGGAACAUCAGGUGUCCCUAACUUCUUGUCCAUAUCCUAGUGGACCAGGAUGGCCCAUGAGCCAGGAGCAGCCCAUCAAGGGGUUAGCCAGCAGCAUCUGGAGUAGGCCUGACAUGCAGGAGAACUUUGCCUAACAGAAGCCCAUCAGAUCCUCUGUGUUGAGGAAUCUGACUUGGAGGCACUGGGAGGGGUGAGCAGUGGCAAGUAGAGGCAGCAGAAGCCAAAGGAGCACAAGAGAAAAGGCAGUUGUGAGGCUGGAGGGCCAUGGUGGGAAAGAGGGAGGACUGAGCGGAAAAGAGUGGCUGAAACCCAGUGGAUGGAGAGCCACGUAUGCUCAUUACUAAGAACCAAUAAGAAACCUGGUCCUUGGCUCUAGGCAGGACCCUGAAACCUGUCUCUGCUACCUGGCUGUGUGGCUGAGGGCAGGACUCUGGAACCAAACCACUUGAGUUUGGCUCCUGGUUCCAUCCCUUGCUAGACAUGUGUCCUUGGGCAAGUUACCCAACCUCUCUGAGCUUCCAUUUCCUUGACUGUAAAGAGGAGCAACAGAACUGACCCUCAGGGUAAUUGUGAGACAUGAAUGGGAUAAUAUACACGGAUGGUGCCUCUAAUAGUGUUUGGCUCAUAAUAAUAAAUGUUACUUUUUUUUUUAAAGUUACUAUUGCAGGGAUGCCUGGGUGGCUCAGUCAAUUAAACAUCCCACUCUUGGUUUCAGCUCAGGUCAUGAUCUCAUGGGUUGUGGGAUGGAGCCCUGCCAGGCUCUGAACUCAGCAGGAGUCUUCUUGAAGAGUCUUUCCCUCUCUCCCUCCCCCUACCUGUGCCCACAUGCACGCACGCGUGUGCUCUCUCUUUCUCUCUCUCAAAUCAAUAAAUGAAUCUUUUUUUAAAAAAGUUAUUAUUCCAAGGGGUGCCUGUGCAAGGCUGGCUCUGUUGGAAAGCAUGCAACUCUUCAUCUCCAGGUUGUGAGUCUGAGCCCCAUGUUGGGUGUAGAGAUUAUUUAAAAAUAAAAUCUUAAAAAAAAAAAAAAAAAAAA